UACGGGAGGCAGCAGUGGGGAAUCUUGCGCAAUGGGCGAAAGCCUGACGCAGCCAUGCCGCGUGAAUGAUGAAGGUCUUAGGAUUGUAAAAUUCUUUCACCGGGGACGAUAAUGACGGUACCCGGAGAAGAAGCCCCGGCUAACUUCGUGCCAGCAGCCGCGGUAAUACGAAGGGGCUAGCGUUGCUCGGAAUUACUGGGCGUAAAGGGCGCGUAGGCGGAUCGUUAAGUCAGAGGUGAAAUCCCAGGGCUCAACCCUGGAACUGCCUUUGAUACUGGCGAUCUUGAGUAUGAGAGAGGUAUGUGGAACUCCGAGUGUAGAGGUGAAAUUCGUAGAUAUUCGGAAGAACACCAGUGGCGAAGGCGACAUACUGGCUCAUUACUGACGCUGAGGGCGCGAAAGCGUGGGGAGCAAACAGGGAUUAGAUACC
rnacentral:rRNA from 1 species